UCCAGAAGGAUGUGUUUCAAGUUGGGAAC
rnacentral:piRNA from 1 species